UACGUAGGAUGCUAGCGUUGUCCGGAUUUACUGGGCGUAAAGCGCGCGCAGGCGGCACUGUAAGUAAGGUGUGAAAUCUCUCUGCUCAACGGGGGAGGGUGCACUUUAGACUGCAGAGCUAGAGGACGGUAGAGGGGGGUGGAAUUGCUGGUGUAGCGGUGAAAAUGCGUAGAGAUCAGAGGAACACCCGUGGCGAAGGCGGCCCCCUGGGCCGAACCUGACGCUGAGGCG
rnacentral:rRNA from 1 species